GGGUAACUCCCCAGUGUGUUUGUGGAAAUAUUAAAUUUUUUCACCGCGUAAAAGGGCCACGGUUGGCAGCAGGGUGGAGCAUUGCAAGUUUAAUGCCGUGUUUAGACAUUGUUCUCUUUCUUAUGUCUGGUCUUCACAAGAGAAGGUCACGGGUUGUUUUAUACGAGUAUCUUUCAUUUAUUUGCACCGUAAACUCAGUCCUUUGUCUGGACAAUUGUUCCUUUAUGAUCUAGUCAGGUCAGUACAAUAGUAAAAUGCUCUAAACACGCUCUUGUGACAAACACACUUUGCUGUCCUGUUUUCUAAUCGUCCACAUGGCUGGGAGAACCUAUUCAAGUAGCUAGCUAACAGCCAUGGAGAAGGGUGAAAGGAUAGCAACCCCAACUGUGGAUAGGGCAGGUACGUUUGUGUAGUUCCAGUCCCUAGAAGUGAGAACCGAGAUAAUAGUAACAUACUAUUCAGUGCGGUCUAAUUUGAGUAUAAUGAAGUCUGUUUCUUGUGAGGUUUUCUGUCCUCGGUUUACAGAGAGCUGUGAAAUCCUGUCUACUCAAAGGGGUGCACGUUUUUGCACUGCACAGCUGACACAAAAUGAUCAACUCAUCAAGCUUCAAGUGAUACCUUGUAACUGGAGAUUCCUUCAAACCGAUUGCCAACAGUUAACAUGUAGGGCACUGCAAGGUUGGGUGACCAGGGCCAUCUGGGACUGCCUCCUGGAGGAAUUCAGGUGUGUGAAGGCUACCUGUGUCCUGAAUAAUGUCAUGAGGAUGGACACGAGGACCAGGAGGGGGGGGAUCUGUGUGCUGGAUUUCUUCACCACAUACUUUUUUUGAGGAGGGUGCUGUUCCCUGCCAACCCCAUAGACUACACUAUGCACAACCAAAGGCUCUUAAGAGCAUUCACAUUGCAAUAAGAGUAUUCUUCCAUUUACUUAGCUAUGUCAACUGCAGUUAUAUCAGUUUGAUCUCCAUCUCUUCAUUCAAAGACUCAAUCAUGGACACUCUUACUGACAGUUGUUGCUGCUUUGCGUGAUAUAUUGUUGUCUUUACCUCCUUGACCUUUUGUGCUGUUGUCUUCGCCCAAUAAUGUUUGUACCCUGUGCUCUUGCCAUAUUGUUACUACCGUGUUGUCAUGUUGAGUUGCUACCAUGUUGUCAUGUUGCAUUGCUACCAUACUGUGUUGCUGCCACGUUGUCUUAGGUCUCUUUAUGUAGUGUUGUUGUCAUGUUGAGUUGCUACCAUGUUGUCAUGUUGAGUUGCUACCAUGUUGUCAUGUUGAGUUGCUGCCACGUUGUCUUAGGUCUCUUUAUGUAGUGUUGUUGUCGUCUCUUGUCAUGUGUGUUUUGUCCUAUUUUUAUUUAAUUUAUUUUAAUCCCGCCCCCGCAGGAGGCCUUUUGCCUCUUGGUAGGCUGUCAUCGUAAAUAAGAAUUUGUUCAACUGACUUGGCUAGUUAACUAAAAUAUAAAAUUCCCAGUCUCUCUUUUUUUGUAUUUCUACUUCUCAGGUGAGGGUGCUGUUUAGGUAAGGGAAGUAUUAUUAAAGAGAUGCUUUACAUUGAAAUAGAGAUGCAGUAGUCCCAGAGUUAAUGAUCCAAGAUCAGUUUAUAUUAUACAGGAAGUAUUAUUAAAGAGAUGUAGUAGUCCCAGAGUUAAUGAUCCCAGGUCAGUUUAUAUUAUACAGGAUUAUUAAAGAGAUGUAGUAGUCCCAGAGUUAAUGAUCCCAGGUCAGUUUAUAUUAUACAGGAAGUAUUAUUAAAGAGAUGCUUUACAUUGAAAUACAGAUAGAUGUAGUAGUCCCAGAGUUAAUGAUCCAAGAUCAGUUUUGCAUUUCACCUCUUGAUGAUUAUUAUGACAGACUGUUAGUUUAAGCCUUGUUUUUUUGUUGUUUUUUUAUUCAGUCUCUCCAUAUGCAGGAAUUUAUUUAAAAAUAAAUUCACCUUUAUUUAACCAGGUAGGCCAGUUGAGAACAAGUUUUCAUUUACAAUUGCUACCUAACUAAGAUAAAGCAAAGCAGUGUGACAAAAACAAGAGUUACACAUGGCAUAAACAUGUAUGUUUUGAUGUGAGAGAGGAUGCCAACACUCGGUCCCGUCAUCGCCACCUCACUCGCUCUUAAGAUAACCUUCGGGCCGACUAGGAGCCCAAGGCUGGUUAGAAGGCACUGAUGUAAUAGUUAUGAACUGAGAGAAUAUUAGGGUAGCACUGUGAUUCAUUAAUCACAUGCUGUCUUCCCUGCUCCUCUGUUCUUACCUCUUUCCAUUUGUCUUCUACACCUCUCUCCACCUUUGUUCCUCUGUUCUUACCUCUUUCCCUUUCUGUCUUCUACACCCCUCACUCCCCACCACUUUGUUCCUCUGUUCUUACCUCUUUCCCUUUCUGUCUUCUACACCUCUCUCACCACCUCCUUCCUCUGUUGUUAUAAUGCACACCAGAUGUGCAUUGAAGUACAGAUUGAACUUGUAUUUAUAAUAUAUUACAAUAUUUAUAACACUUGUAUAAUGAACUUAUUUCAAUAAAGCGUUUCACAUUUUCUACAGUGU